rnacentral:other from 1 species
AAAAUGCUGUUGUGUUCGACUUAGGAGAACUUCCCGUGCGUAUUUUAUAAUCCAACACAUUAUAAAAGGGAUUCGGUCUCCGACGGUGAAUUGCAGACCUCCCGCCGCAUCAGGUGUGCGGAGUUACGGAUGAAGGGAGCGUGAAACCGUCGGGCUGUUGCCCACCUGCGAGAUGGAGCGGGUUUUAUAAUCGCACGACGGCACGACGGCACAUUU